GCCCUAUGUUAAAAUUUUAAUUCUGCACUUACUAACUAUCUUGGGAACCUUGGGCAAGUAACCAACCUCUUGUGCUUUGGUUUCCUCAUUGGUAAAAUGGGGAUAACAGUACUUACCUCACAGAGUUGUUGAGAGGAACAAAU
ensembl:snoRNA